CAGUAGCCGCGGUAAUACAGAGGGUGCGAGCGUUAAUCGGAUUUACUGGGCGUAAAGCGCACGUAGGCGGAUAUUUAAGUCAGGGGUGAAAUCCCGCAGCUCAACUGCGGAACUGCCUUUGAUACUGGGUAUCUUGAGUAUGGAAGAGGUUAGUGGAAUUGCGAGUGUAGAGGUGAAAUUCGUAGAUAUUCGCAGGAACACCAGUGGCGAAGGCGGCUAACUGGUCCAUAACUGACGCUGAGGUGCGAAAGCGUGGGGAGCAAACAGGAUUAGAUACCCCUGUAGUCCCUGUCUCUUAUAC
rnacentral:rRNA from 1 species